GAUGAACGCUGGCGGCGUGCCUAAUACAUGCCAGUCGAGCGAACAGACGAGGAGCUUGCUCCUCUGACGUUAGCGGCGGACGGGUGAGUAACACGUGGAUAACCUACCUAUAAGACUGGGAUAACUUCGGGAAACCGGAGCUAAUGCCGGAUAAUAUAUUGAACCGCAUGGUUCAAUAGUGAAAGACGGUUUUGCUGUCACUUAUAGAUGGAUCCGCGCCGCAUUAGCUAGUUGGUAAGGUAACGGCUUACCAAGGCAACGAUGCGUAGCCGACCUGAGAGGGUGAUCGGCCACACUGGAACUGAGACACGGUCCAGACUCCUACGGGAGGCAGCAGUAGGGAAUCUUCCGCAAUGGGCGAAAGCUUGACGGAGCAACGCCGCGUGAGUGAUGAAGGUCUUCGGAUCGUAAAACUCUGUUAUUAGGGAAGAACAAAUGUGUAAGUAACUAUGCACGUCUUGACGGUACCUAAUCAGAAAGCCACGGCUAACUACGUG
rnacentral:rRNA from 1 species